rnacentral:rRNA from 1 species
UACCAGCACCCCGAGUGGUCGGGACGAUUAUUGGGCCUAAAGCAUCCGUAGCCGGUUCUACAAGUCUUCCGUUAAAUCCACCUGCUUAACAGAUGGGCUGCGGAGGAUACUAUGGAGCUAGGAGGCGGGAGAGGCAAGCGGUACUUAGUGGGUAGGGGUAAAAUCCGUUGAUCCAUUGAAGACCACCAGUGGCGAAGGCGGCUU